CAAUAGCGUAUAUUAAAGUUGUUGCAGUUAAAAGCUCGUAGUUGGAUUUCUGGCAGGAGCGACCGGUCGCACGCUAUGCGUGUGAACUUGUGUUGUCUCUGGCCAUCCUUGGGGAGAUCCCGUUUGGCAUUAAGUUGUCGGGCGGGGGAUACCCAUCGUUUACUGUGAAAAAUUAGAGUGUUUCUAGCAGGCAGCUCGCUCUUGCAUAGGUUAGCAUGGGAUAAUUUAAUAGGACUCUGGUGCUAUUUUGUUGGUUUCGAACACCGGAGUAAUGAUUAAAAGGGGCAGUCAGGGGCACUCGUAUUCCGUCGAGAGAGGUGAAAUUCUCAGACCAAUGGAAGACGGACCACUGCGAAAGCAUUUGCCAGGGAUGUUUUCACUGAUCAAGAACGAAAGUUAGGGGAUCGAAGACGAUUAGAU
rnacentral:rRNA from 1 species